CCUACGGGAGGCAGCAGUGGGGAAUUUUGGACAAUGGGCGCAAGCCUGAUCCAGCCAUGCCGCGUGAGUGAAGAAGGCCUUCGGGUUGUAAAGCUCUUUCGGCCGGGAAGAAAUCGCAUUGGUUAAUACCUGGUGUGGAUGACGGUACCGGAAUAAGAAGCACCGGCU
rnacentral:rRNA from 1 species